rnacentral:lncRNA from 12 species
AAAAUCCGUGAAAAUCGUGUGAGUCAGGUCUAUCGGUCCCGACCAAGUUUCUUGGCACACAGACUGCCCGCGCGGAAGAUGCGCGCGUGGGGAAGGGAGACCGAGCCACCUGGGCCCGCGCCCGAGUCGGUGCAGCUGGUCGCCUUCGGUGCGGAGCGGAACGCGGGAGAAGGGGCCCGACGCCCCCUGCGACUGCACAAAGCGGUGUGGGCUCCGGCCGCCCAGACACGCCACCCACACAAGCCCGCCUGCACCCGCAGUCACCUCUUCCCACGCGAGUCCUUCCCGUUCGGGGCCACCGACCUGGACAGCGGGACGAGCUCCUGGAAACGGAUCAAGCCAGUGCCUUCAUUUUGUAGAGAUGGCCCAGGUUGGGGAUGGAAGUGAGGUUUUCUCCAAUGGCAGCCACUGUUUAAGCCAGGGGCUCGGUGAGCGCAGUAAAGAGCAGUAAAGGGCCAGCAGAAGAAACUUAGAAGACACGUCCAAGGUAACAAAUUGAAGGAAGCAGCCAACGCCUUGACGGCAACAACAUGGCCAGAAGGAGUCAGUGAAGCCCAGACUUGCAUGGAAGCAAGGAGGGAGAUUCAGCUGCAAAUUUGCAGUUGUGCUUUAUUGCAACCCAAGCUGUCCAGAGGGAGAAGGCAACUCUUGCUUGGGGCUGGGGGUUCCCAUGGUUGUCAAUGGGCACACCUUGGACCUUGGGCCAAGUCCUGUGGUUGCUUCUCCAUUACCCACUCUCCCUUAUCUAGGUUAACACCCCCCCUCCCCUUGUUUUUAGCCGUCACAUCCCUGCCCUGGCUGCAUGGUGGAGCAUACGGUUCCAAUAUAAGCAAAUUAGCAUAAUGCCAACCUAAAAAAAGCAGCCAUAGUCCCAUCCCUGCCACAGUCACUGGUUGGCAGUGGGCAUGACACAAUUUGGGACAAUGAGAGGAGCAAUUUUACUGUGGCCUUUUGGGGAAGUUUUUGUCUAUUUCACGUAUUCCAAGAGAAGUUCAUCGGCAACCUUCUCUUUCUGCAUGUAUUCCAAAAGUCAGGAAGCAUAACAAUAAUAAAAAAUGAAGGAAUAUCA